UGCUGUCUUCGGCAGCACAUAUACUAAAAUUGGAACGGCACUAUACAAAGAUUAACAUGGCCCCCACUCAAGGAUGACAGACAAAUUUGUGAAGCAUUCCCUAGUUUA